rnacentral:rRNA from 1 species
GACGAACGCUGGCGGCGUGCCUAAUACAUGCAAGUAGAACGCUGAAGGAGGAGCUUGCUUCUCUGGAUGAGUUGCGAACGGGUGAGUAACGCGUAGGUAACCUGCCUGGUAGCGGGGGAUAACUAUUGGAAACGAUAGCUAAUACCGCAUAAUAGUAGAUGUUGCAUGACAUUUGCUUAAAAGGUGCAAUUGCAUCACUACCAGAUGGACCUGCGCUGUAUUAGCUAGUUGGUGAGGUAACGGCUCACCAAGGCGACGAUACAUAGCCGACCUGAGAGGGUGAUCGGCCACACUGGGACUGAGACACGGCCCAGACUCCUACGGGAGGCAGCAGUAGGGAAUCUUCGGCAAUGGACGGAAGUCUGACCGAGCAACGCCGCGUGAGUGAAGAAGGUUUUCGGAUCGGAAAGCUCUGUUGUAAGAGAAGAACGAGUGUGAGAGUGGAAAGUUCACACUGUGACGGUAUCUUACCAGAAAGAGACGGCUAACUACGUG